rnacentral:tRNA from 1 species
GUAUAAUAUUAAAAUACAUCUGCUGAUUGCAACUCAACUACUUUAAUUAAGCUAAAACCUCCUAGGCAGA